AGUCCACAUCCAGCAAAACAUUUGAUUAACUGGAAAGCAAUACCAUUCUCAUGCCAGUGUACAAAUUACAUGAAAGAGCAUCAUUUUUCUAGUGUCUGAGGAUUGGCUGCUUAUGGCCAAUUUUGGCAGCAAGACGAUAGGAUUAAAAAUAGCUUGAAGAUGAUCUAGUCUUAAAUAAUAUAUUUCAUGAUGAACUUUCCUUGGGAAAGUGCAUCUUUCUGCCUACAAGAAUCACAUGACCCCUUUCAAUAAUUUAUGUAGUAGAGAAAAACACACUAUUUCUCAUAGAGUUUUCAGUCAUGUGCUGUGGUGUGAUUGUUUCUGGACAUUCAUAAAAUUUUAUAGUUAACUGAAUUCUCUUUUCUGUUUUGUUGCUAUUUAACGUCCAUUGAAAACAUGGCUUUCUUUUGCGCAUUCUGUUACUUUCAGCUGUACUUUCUAAUAAGAAUGGAUUGCCCUUUUUAGCAAUCUUUGAUUGAACUGGUACAUUUCAGAUUACUUAAAUGUCAUCAGGCCACACAGCAUACCAGGUAACAGAAAGCCAUAAAUUAAAAAUAAAAAAAAGGCAAGCAAAA
rnacentral:lncRNA from 1 species